GCAGGUGAGAUGUUGAAUUCCACAGGUGUGCUUUAUCUAAGCCCUACUGUUCUCCAGGUGUGUCUUGAACACAUUUCUUUGAUAUGAAUUAAGGAGGGGUGACAUGAGGAUAGGUGAGUAGGGGAACAUGGGCUCCAUGGCUGAAAUAUUUAGAUUGCUACAUUAUCCUUAAAUUACCCCAUUAGAGGUCCCUGCAUGCCAUUAAGUUGUUAAAGUUCUGUCCCACUGCUAAACCUUGACCAAGAGCGUGUGGUAAGUAGAAUCACCAUUUCAUCUUUCCUUAUAACCCCAAUCUAUCUCUUGUCGGAGUGGGUAUAUCUUUUCCAUUGUGUAAACCUGAACUGAGUCAUUUUGUUUCCAUUGAGUCUCCAGCUGAGUUAAUGUGACCCUUACCUGGGGAGUCGGCACGAGACCUAGUUUGACUUGCCCUACAAUGGCCAACUCAACUGAAGAAAAGCAGAAAAAACAGUUCCCACAGUCUUUGCGGUGAGUGACGCUACAACCCUGACCAAGCCAUCACCACCUCCCCUGCUGGAGCCAAAACAGACUCCUAUUGAUGAAGGAAAAUGGAAACCCCUCAUCAUGAAGCACUGGAGCUCUUGAGUUUGAGAUGAACGCACUGGAGGAAACCCUGAGGGAAUGAUUAAUUAAAUGAACCCUACAUGCCUCAAUUCAAGCCCUGCGAGAAGACAGAACUUGAGUGCAUAUUUUCUGUUUAACACCCAGCACGUCUCACAGCUUAAACAGUAUUUCUCUGGAAAUCUCAAUGGAUUUUUCUUUGGAGUUGAGUUUCCUGUAUUUAGACAGAGAAGAGAAGAACAUGUGCUUUGGAUGGUCUGGAUGUGUAAUGUACUGUUACCUGUGAAAGGCCACUAACUAUUCAGGAACAAACCCUAACAUCUCAAGCCAGUUCGAAUUACCGCCUCAGAAUUUAUAGUGGCUAAAAGCCACUCCCUCUAAGCUGGAUCCUGUGUAGGCGAUAUUGGGUUGCCAUUGAAAUUGUUUUAUCAGUUCCUCCGGAAUUCGGCCAGCAUGGGAGUAUAGCAUAAAUCUGCAGCGAUUCGAGCCCUUCCUCUGAAGUCCUCAGGAAUUCGUUUUGUCAGGCCUGGUUUGGGAGAGUGAGAUAAAUGAGUACCCAGGGCAGCCUAGCAC
ensembl:lncRNA